rnacentral:rRNA from 1 species
UCGAGAAUUUUUCACAAUGGGGGAAACCCUGAUGGAGCGACGCCGCGUGGGGGAUGAAGGGCUUCGGCUCGUAAACCCCUGUCAUUGGCGAACAAGUGUUGCAUCCUAAUACGGUGCAACUUGAUAGUAGCCGAAGAGGAAGGGACGGCUAACUCUGUGCCAGCAGCCGCGGUAAUACAGAGGUCCCGAGCGUUGUUCGGAUUCACUGGGCGUAAAGGGUGCGUAGGUGGUUGGUUAAGUUUGAGGUGAAAGCUCCGAGCUCAACUCGGAAAAUGCCUUGAAGACUAUCUGACUAGAGGGUUGGAGGGGAGACUGGAAUUCUCGGUGUAGCAGUGAAAUGCGUAGAUAUCGAGAGGAACACCAGUGGCGAAGGCGAGUCUCUGGACAACACCUGACACUG